rnacentral:rRNA from 1 species
AUGAACGCUGGCGGCGUGUCUAAGGCAUGCAAGUCGAACGGAUUUUGUCGCAAGACAAUAUGAGUGGCAAACGGGUGCGUAACACAUUGGCAAUCUACCCCAAAGCUCGGGACAACUCGUCGAAAGAUGAGCUAAUACCGGAUGUGCUCAGGAGUCGCAUGAUUCCUGCGUAAAGAUUUAUCACUUUGGGAGGAGCCUAUGUUCUAUCAGCUAGUUGGUGAGGUAAUGGCUCACCAAGGCGACGACGGAUAGCGGGUGUGAGAGCACGACCCGCCUCACUGGGACUGAGACACUGCCCAGACUCCUACGGGAGGCUGCAGUCAAGAAUCUUCCCCAAUGGCCGAAAGGCUGAGGGAGCGACGCCGCGUGCAGGAUGAAACUCUUCGGAGCGUAAACUGCUUUUCUGUGGGAAAAACUCUGAUGGUACCACAGGAAUAAGGGGCUGCUAACUUCGU